UACGGGAGGCAGCAGUGGGGAAUAUUGGACAAUGGGCGCAAGCCUGAUCCAGCCAUGCCGCGUGUGUGAAGAAGGCCUUCGGUUGUAAAGCACUUUGUCCGGAAAGAAAAGCUUAGGGUUAAUAACCUUGAGUCAUGACGGUACCGGAAGAAUAAGCACCGGCUAACUUCGUGCCAGCAGCCGCGGUAAUACGAAGGGUGCAAGCGUUACUCGGAAUUACUGGGCGUAAAGCGUGCGUAGGUGGUUUGUUAAAGUCUGAUGUGAAAGCCCUGGGCUCAACCUGGGAAUGGCAUUGGAAACUGGCUUACUAGAGUGCGGUAGAGGGGUGUGGAAUUCCCGGUGUAGCAGUGAAAUGCGUAGAUAUCGGGAGGAACAUCUGUGGCGAAGGCGACACCCUGGACCAGCACUGACACUGAGGCACGAAAGCGUGGGGA
rnacentral:rRNA from 1 species